rnacentral:rRNA from 1 species
UUCCGGUUGAUCCCGCCAGACCCGACUGCUAUCAGAGUGGGACUAAGCCAUGCGAGUCAACGCAGCAAUGCGUGGCAUACGGCUCAGUAACACGUAGUCAACAUGCCCAAGGGACGUGGAUAACCUCGGGAAACUGAGGAUAAACCGCGAUAGGCCAAGGUUUCUGGAAUGGACAAUGGCUGAAAUCUACAUGGCCCUUGGAUUGGACUGCGGCCGAUCAGGCUGUUGGUGAGGUAAUGGCCCACCAAACCUAUAACCGG